GAUGAACGCUGGCGGCGUACCUAAUACAUGCAAGUCGGGCGAACGGACGAGAAGCUUGCUUCUCUGAUGUUAGCGGCGGACGGGUGAGUAACACGUGGAUAACCUACCUAUAAGACUGGGAUAACUUCGGGAAACCGGAGCUAAUACCGGAUGAUAUUUUGAACCGCAUGGUUCAAAAGUGAAAGACGGUCUUGCUGUCACUUAUAGAUGGAUCCGCGCUGCAUUAGCUAGUUGGUAAGGUAACGGCUUACCAAGGCAACGAUGCAUAGCCGACCUGAGAGGGUGAUCGGCCACACUGGAACUGAGACACGGUCCAGACUCCUACGGGAGGCAGCAGUAGGGAAUCUUCCGCAAUGGGCGAAAGCCUGACGGAGCAACGCCGCGUGAGUGAUGAAGGUCUUCGGAUCGUAAAACUCUGUUAUUAGGGAAGAACAUAUGUGUAAGUAACUGUGCACAUCUUGACGGUACCUAAUCAGAAAGCCACGGCUAACUACGUG
rnacentral:rRNA from 1 species